GCCUGGGUGGCUCAGUUGGUUAAGCGUCUGACUUUGGCUCAGGUCGAGAUCUCAUGAUUUGUAGGUUCAAACCUUGCAUCAGGCU
rnacentral:tRNA from 1 species